CGCGAAUGGCUCAUUAUAACAGCCAUAAUUUACUUGAUCUUGACACAAUCCUACUUGGAUAACUGUGGUAAUUCUAGAGCUAAUACAUGCAUUAAAGCUCUGACCUCACGGGAAGAGUGCAUUUAUUAGAACAAAACCAAGCGGCUUCGGCUGUUUCUGGUUGACUCAUAGUAACUGAGCUGAUCGCAUGGUCUUGCACCAACGACGUGUCUUUCAAGUAUCUGCCGUAUCAACUUUCGAUGGUAGUGUAUCUGACUACCAUGGUGAUCACGCGUAACGGAGAAUAAGGGUUCGGCUCCGGAGAGUUCGCCUGAGAAAUCGCGAACACAUCUAAGGAAGGCAGCAGGCGCGGAAAUUACCCACUCUCAGCACGAGGAGGUAGUGACGAAAAAUAACGAGACCGUUCUCUUAUGAGGACGGUCAUCGGAAUGGGUACAAUUUAAACCCUUUAACGAGUAUCUAUGAGAGGGCAAGUCUGGUGCCAGCAGCCGCGGUAAUUCCAGCU
rnacentral:rRNA from 1 species